AAGCCCCGGCACCAUUUGGGUGCGUCUCCAAAUUUGCAUUUUGGCGUGAAUCUACCUCCUGGGCU
rnacentral:tRNA from 1 species